rnacentral:lncRNA from 1 species
CCACUCAUCAGAGGGAGAACAGAUUCAUAAUGAGCCCAAAGACAGACCUCUCUGGAGCACGAGGAGAGACACACUGGACACUGAACCUGAGUGCUACAGAUGGAAACACACUGACCACUGCUGCACCGCACACACAGCAUGCAGCGGUGUUCAGAGCAGACGGUGUGCAGUACUCCUCUCACAGUUCACUGGACACAGGCAGUGAUGUGAUGCCCUCAUGUGUGUGUGUGUGUGUGUGUGUGUGUGUGUGUGUGUGUGUGUGUGUGUGUGUGUGUGUGUGUGUGUGUGUGUGUGUGUGUGUGUGUUGAUCUCUGUCUCCAGUGAAGAGCAUGAUGGGUUAUUCCCCGUUCAGACAGGCUCCGUCUCCUUCAUUUGGAUCUUGUAGAGCUGAACACGGUAAAUCACACGAUACACUCACUUCUGACCUGCUUGAAGGGAACUGAGGCUGCUGAAAGACAUCUUUAUGCUAACUCUUUUUUAUUCAAACAGUCUUGAUAUAGUUUUUACACUUGCAAGUGGCAUCUAUACUGUGUGUUUAGUUAGUUGCAUGACAUUUAAAUGCAUGAAUUUAGCAGAAGCUUUUAUCCAAAGCAACUCAAGACAAAAGAACCAUUUUUGAUUCCACAAAGAAGCAUUCAGUCAAAGGUUCUUUAAAGAACCAUCUCUUUCUUACCUUUUUAUAAUCUGAAGAACCUUCUUUAGCCACAAAGAACCUUUUGUGAAACAGAAAGGUUUUUCAGAUGUUAAAGGUUCUUUAUGGAACCAUUUAGACAAAAAGGUUCUUCUGUGACAUCGUGAAGCACCUUUAUUUUUAAAAGUGCAGAUGCUUUACAGUUUUUCUCGAUUGCUUAAACACAUUUGCCCAAUCUGACAUCACAUUUUCAAAACCGUUAACACACAGGAUAAAAUUGAAGCUCAAUGGCCAAAAUGACUCAUUUUGUUAGCAAAAUGCUCUAACACUCACAAAACAUUAAAAACAUGCAACAUAAGCAAAUAUUUCCAUCAAACACCACAACUUGUGGUCAAAUUAAUUUAUUCUUUCAAUCAAUCACAAUAUGAAAUAUGAUACUUUACAAACUACAAAUAGGAUACUAGGAAAAAAAAGACUACCAAAGGAAACUUAUAGGGUAGAAAUAACCUUUAAAAAAAAAAAAAAAGAAAGAUAUAUACAUUUUAUCUUUCACAUUUAGUCCAUUCGUUCUUGACGAUUAUGCCACAGGUUCUCAUCAACAUCGCAUUGAAUGUUUUCCCUUGCAAUGCACCGAGAGAAAUACCUCCUUGCAUGGCGUAUCCAUCCCUGGCAGUCCUCUGCACCUAUUGCCAGGCAACCAGCAUUCAUUGCCUCCAGGAGGGGCAUCUGCUCAUAUGGCCGGUGAUCAUACACCUUCCACCUCCAAGCAGAGAAGAACUCCUCGAUUGGGUUCAGAAAAGGCGAGUAUGCAGGGAGGAAUUGUAUCAUAAUACGAGGCUGUGCUGCAAACCUUGAACUAUUUU